AGAGAGGGGAGGAACGUCAGGCCCCACUGCAAACUCUUCAGACAUGCCACCUUCAUCUCUUCCCAGCAUCCUUUUAGCCGUAAGAAGCGCCCCCCAAACUCCACCAUCCUCUUUGACAAUAAGCUCCAUCACGCCUUCAAUAAAUUAGAGCCCGUCUGAAGGAAGGAAACCCUUAGCCAAGGAAGGCAACAACCGAGGAAUCAGAACGGCUACAUCUGCUCUGUGAAGAAUUGGAAACAAGUUGUAUUUCAGAGAAGAGGACGACGAAAGUGGUUGUUAGUGUUCUGGCAUGGCUUUAAUGUUUUCUGCAGAGAGGUAACGAGCAGGAUCGCAAGGCACAAAGUAAAGAAAAUGGAAAUUAAACCCUGUGAGACUGUCACCCGCCUCUGCUCUCCAACCUCCAGACUUUCCUCCACGAUUUUCACUUUGCUACUUGAUAUUUGUGUUUUGCAUCUCCUCCCCUUUUAAAAUAAAUUCGCUAAAUUUAAAAGCAUUAUUUCCCCAGUUCCCUCCUCAAUCCUCUCAGAACAGCUUGAUUUCAUUUGUUAGCGGUGCAGAAAUUUCAAAAGAAAGAAGAGACU
rnacentral:lncRNA from 1 species